ACCUCUGCAGUUAAUAUGAACUGGGA
rnacentral:piRNA from 1 species